rnacentral:rRNA from 1 species
CCUACGGGUGGCUGCAGUAGGGAAUCUUCCACAAUGGGCGAAAGCCUGAUGGAGCAACGCCGCGUGGGUGAAGAAGGUCUUCGGAUCGUAAAACCCUGUUGGUAGAGAAGAAAGUGCGUGAGAGUAACUGUUCACGUGUCGACGGUAUCUAACCAGAAAGCCACGGCUAACUACGUGCCAGCAGCCGCGGUAAUACGGAGGGGGCAAGCGUUAUCCGGAUUUAUUGGGCGUAAAGGGAACGAAGGCGGUCUUUUAAGUCUGAUGUGAAAGCCUUCGUCUUAACCGGAGUAGUGCAUUGGAAACUGGGAGACUUGAGUGCAGAAGAGGUGAGUGGAACUCCAUGUGUAGCGGUGAAAUGCUUAUAUAUAUGGAUGAACACCAGUGGCGAUCGCGGCUCUCUGGUCUGUACCUGACGCUGAGGUUCGAAAGCGUGGGUAGCAAACAGGAUUAGAUACCCUAGUAGUC